rnacentral:rRNA from 1 species
UGUAGCAAGGUUAACCGAAUAGGGGAGCCGGAGGGAAACCGAGUCUUAAUUGGGCGUUAAGUUGCAGGGUAUAGACCCGAAACCCGGUGAUCUAGCCAUGGGCAGGUUGAAGGUUGGGUAACACUAACUGGAGGACCGAACCGACUAAUGUUGAAAAAUUAGCGGAUGACCUGUGGCUGGGGGUGAAAGGCCAAUCAAACCGGGAGAUAGCUGGUUCUCCCCGAAAGCUAUUUAGGUAGCGCCUCGUGAAUUCAUCUCCGGGGGUAGAGCACUGUUUCGGCUAGGGGGCCAUCCCGGCUUACCAACCCGAUGCAAACUGCGAAUACCGGAGAAUGUUAUCACGGGAGACACACGGCGGGUGCUAACGUCCGUCGUGAAGAGGGAAACAACCCAGACCGCCAGCUAAGGUCCCAAAGUCAUGGUUAAGUGGGAAACGAUGUGGGAAGGCCCAGACAGCCAGGAUGUUGGCUUAGAAGCAGCCAUCAUUUAAAGAAAGCGUAAUAGCUCACUGGUCGAGUCGGCCUGCGCGGAAGAUGUAACGGGGCUAAACCAUGCACCGAAGCUGCGGCAGCGAACGUAUCACUUAAAGCGAUUCAGCGGGUUACGAUUGACGGAGCGAAGCGACGUCAAAGCGUAUACAAAGUCGAGUCGGUUUAAGGAUACGUUCGUUGGGUAGGGGAGCGUUCUGUAAGCCUGUGAAGGUGGCCUGUGAGGGUUGCUGGAGGUAUCAGAAGUGCGAAUGCUGACAUAAGUAACGAUAAAGCGGGUGAAAAGCCCGCUCGCCGGAAGACCAAGGGUUCCUGUCCAACGUUAAUCGGGGCAGGGUGAGUCGACCCCUAAGGCGAGGCCGAAAGGCGUAGUCGAUGGGAAACGGGUUAAUAUUCCCGUACUUGGUGUUACUGCGAAGGGGGGACGGAGAAGGCUAUGUUGGCCGGGCGACGGUUGUCCCGGUUUAAGCGUGUAGGUGUGUGUUCCAGGUAAAUCCGGUUCACUUUAACACUGAGGCGUGACGACGAGGCACUACGGUGCUGAAGCAACAAAUGCCCUGCUUCCAGGAAAAGCCUCUAAGCAUCAGGUAACAUCAAAUCGUACCCCAAACCGACACAGGUGGUCAGGUAGAGAAUACCAAGGCGCUUGAGAGAACUCGGGUGAAGGAACUAGGCAAAAUGGUGCCGUAACUUCGGGAGAAGGCACGCUGACACGUAGGUGAAGUGAUUUACUCACGGAGCUGAAGUCAGUCGAAGAUACCAGCUGGCUGCAACUGUUUAUUAAAAACACAGCACUGUGCAAACACGAAAGUGGACGUAUACGGUGUGACGCCUGCCCGGUGCCGGAAGGUUAAUUGAUGGGGUCAGCGCAAGCGAAGCUCCUGAUCGAAGCCCCGGUAAACGGCGGCCGUAACUAUAACGGUCCUAAGGUAGCGAAAUUCCUUGUCGGGUAAGUUCCGACCUGCACGAAUGGCGUAAUGAUGGCCAGGCUGUCUCCACCCGAGACUCAGUGAAAUUGAACUCGCUGUGAAGAUGCAGUGUACCCGCGGCAAGACGGAAAGACCCCGUGAACCUUUACUAUAGCUUGACACUGAACAUUGAGCCUUGAUGUGUAGGAUAGGUGGGAGGCUUUGAAGCGUGGACGCCAGUCUGCGUGGAGCCGACCUUGAAAUACCACCCUUUAAUGUUUGAUGUUCUAACGUGGACCCGUAAUCCGGGUUGCGGACAGUGUCUGGUGGGUAGUUUGACUGGGGCGGUCUCCUCCUAAAGAGUAACGGAGGAGCACGAAGGUUGGCUAAUCCUGGUCGGACAUCAGGAGGUUAGUGCAAUGGCAUAAGCCAGCUUGACUGCGAGCGUGACGGCGCGAGCAGGUGCGAAAGCAGGUCAUAGUGAUCCGGUGGUUCUGAAUGGAAGGGCCAUCGCUCAACGGAUAAAAGGUACUCCGGGGAUAACAGGCUGAUACCGCCCAAGAGUUCAUAUCGACGGCGGUGUUUGGCACCUCGAUGUCGGCUCAUCACAUCCUGGGGCUGAAGUAGGUCCCAAGGGUAUGGCUGUUCGCCAUUUAAAGUGGUACGCGAGCUGGGUUUAGAACGUCGUGAGACAGUUCGGUCCCUAUCUGCCGUGGGCGCUGGAGAACUGAGGGGGGCUGCUCCUAGUACGAGAGGACCGGAGUGGACGCAUCACUGGUGUUCGGGUUGUCAUGCCAAUGGCACUGCCCGGUAGCUAAAUGCGGAAGAGAUAAGUGCUGAAAGCAUCUAAGCACGAAACUUGCCCCGA